rnacentral:rRNA from 1 species
GAUGAACGCUGGCGGCGUGCCUAAUACAUGCAAGUCGAGCGAACAGACGAGGAGCUUGCUCCUCUGACGUUAGCGGCGGACGGGUGAGUAACACGUGGAUAACCUACCUAUAAGACUGGGAUAACUUCGGGAAACCGGAGCUAAUACCGGAUAAUAUAUUGAACCGCAUGGGUCAAUAGUGAAAGACGGUUUUGCUGUCACUUAUAGAUGGAUCCGCGCCGCAUUAGCUAGUUGGUAAGGUAACGGCUUACCAAGGCAACGAUGCGUAGCCGACCUGAGUGGGUGAUCGGCCACACUGGAGCUGGGACACGGUCCAGACUCCUACGGGAGGCAGCAGUAGGGAAUCUUCCGCAAUGGGCGAAAGCUUGACGGAGCAACGCCGCGUGAGUGAUGAAGGUCUUCGGAUCGUAAAACUCUGUUAUUAGUGAAGAACAAAUGUGUAAGUAACUAUGCACGUCUUGACGGUACCUAAUCAGAAAGCCACGGCUAACUACGUG